rnacentral:rRNA from 1 species
UACGGGGGGGGCAAGCGUUGUUCGGAAUUACUGGGCGUAAAGGGCGCGUAGGCGGUUCGCUAAGUUGAAUGUGAAAACUCUGGGCUUAACCCAGAGCCUGCAUUCAAUACUGGCGGGCUAGAGUUCUGGAGGGGAUAGCGGAAUUCCUGGUGUAGCGGUGAAAUGCGUAGAUAUCAGGAGGAACACCGGUGGCGAAGGCGGCUAUCUGGACAGAGUCUGACGCUGAGGCGCGAAAGCUAGGGGAGCAAACAGG